UACGUAGGGUGCAAGCGUUAAUCGGAAUUACUGGGCGUAAAGCGUGCGCAGGCGGUUUUGUAAGACUGUCGUGAAAUCCCCGGGCUUAACCUGGGAAUGGCGAUGGUGACUGCAAGGCUAGAGUUUGGCAGAGGGGGGUAGAAUUCCACGUGUAGCAGUGAAAUGCGUAGAGAUGUGGAGGAACACCGAUGGCGAAGGCAGCCCCCUGGGUCAAGAUUGACGCUCAUGCACGAAAGCGUGGGGAGCGAACAGG
rnacentral:rRNA from 1 species